CUCCUCACUGGGCAGCAGGAGCGGCGCGGCGGUCGAAGAAGCGGUCUAAGACUUCGGCAUUGGGUAAAAGAAAAUGGCCCGAACCAAGCAGACUGCCCGUAAAUCCACGGGUGGGAAAGCGCCCCGCAAACAGCUGGCCACUAAAGCGCCCGGAAAAGCGCCCCUUCCACCGGUGGGGUGAAAAAACCUCAUCGCUACAGGCCCGGCACCGUCGCGCUUCGGGAGAUCCGUCGUUACCAGAAAUCCACCGAGCUUCUGAUCCGGAAGCUGCCUUUCCAGAGGUUGGUGAGGGAGAUCGCCCAGGAUUUCAAAACCGAUCUGAGGUUUCAGAGCGCCGCCAUUGGCGCCCUUCAGGAGGCCAGGGAAGCGUACCUGGUGGGUUUAUUUGAAGAUACUAAUCUGUGUGCCAUCCACGCUAAGAGAGUCACCAUCAUGCCCAAAGACAUCCAGUUGGCUCGCCGGAUACGGGGAGAGAGAGCUUAAGUGAAGGCAGUUUUUAUGGUGUUUUGUAGUAAAUUCUGUAAAAUACUUUGGUUUAAUUUGUGACUUUUUUUGUAGGAAAUUGUUUAUAAUAUGUUGCAUUUGUACUUAAGUCAUUCCAUCUUUCACUCAGGAUGAAUGCGAAAAGUGACUGUUCACAGACCUCAGUGAUGUGAGCACUGUUGCUCAGGAGUGACAAGUUGCUAAUAUGCAGAAGGGAUGGGUGAUACUUCUUGCUUCUCAUGAUGCAUGUUUCUGUAUGUUAAUGACUUGUUGGGUAGCUAUUAAGGUACUAGAAUUGAUAAAUGUGUACAGGGUCCUUUUGCAAUAAAACUGGUUAUGACUUGAUCCAAGUGUUUAACAAUUGGGGCUGUUAAGUCUGACCAUACAUCACUGUGAUAGAAUGUGGGCUUUUUCAAGGGUGAAGAUACAAGUCUUAACCACAGUGUAACUUACAGUUUCCUUAAAAAAAAAA